GAUGAACGCUGGCGGCGUGCUUAACACAUGCAAGUCGAGCGGACCUUUCGGGGUCAGCGGCGGACGGGUGAGUAACGCGUGGGAAUAUGCCCUUUGGUACGGAAUAGCCUCGGGAAACUGAGAGUAAUACCGUAUGUGCCCCUCGGGGGAAAGAUUUAUCGCCAAAGGAUUAGCCCGCGUUGGAUUAGGUAGUUGGUGGGGUAAUGGCCUACCAAGCCGACGAUCCAUAGCUGGUUUGAGAGGAUGAUCAGCCACACUGGGACUGAGACACGGCCCAGACUCCUACGGGAGGCAGCAGUGGGGAAUCUUAGACAAUGGGGGCAACCCUGAUCUAGCCAUGCCGCGUGAGUGAUGAAGGCCUUAGGGUUGUAAAGCUCUUUCAGCUGGGAAGAUAAUGACGGUACCAGCAGAAGAAGCCCCGGCUAACUCCGUGCCAGCAGCCGCAGUAA
rnacentral:rRNA from 1 species